rnacentral:rRNA from 1 species
UACGAAGGGGGCUAGCGUUGUUCGGAAUUACUGGGCGUAAAGCGCGCGUAGGCGGACUUUUAAGUCAGAGGUGAAAUCCCGGGGCUCAACCCCGGAACUGCCUUUGAUACUGGCGAGCUCGAGUAUGACAGAGGUUGGUGGAACUCCGAGUGUAGAGGUGAAAUUCGUAGAUAUUCGGAAGAACACCAGUGGCGAAGGCGACUCACUGGACAUGUAUUGACGCUGAGGUACGAGAGCGUGGGGAGCAAACAGG